UAAUUCAGCUAUUUAGGUUCGUCAUAAAGCUGUAUAAUGGAUACAAAAAUUAUUCAUAAAAAUGAUAAGAAUAAUGAUCUAGAAUAAUAUAUAAGUGACGGUUUUUCUUGGCUUAAGUAUCAUUCCUUGUCUAUCAGUUGUAAAAGCAACAUGAAGAUUGUAAGUUAUAUUUUAUUUGUGCUUGGUCUUGUUGCAUUGGGAGUAUUCCAAGCGGAAGCUGCAAAAGCUCCUCCAAUUAAACCCAUUCUUAAACACGUUCAUGUAGACAUUCACCAUCAUGACCAUGACUAGGACCAUAAUUAACACAUUUUUCAUUAACUUUGUUAUAACAUGAAUAAAAUAUAUUCUUACAUUGAAAA